UGGGGAAUCUUGCACAAUGGGGGCAACCCUGAUGCAGCGACGCCGCGUGAGCGGUGAAGCCCUUCGGGGCGUAAAGCUCUUUCGACCGGAACGAUAAUGACGGUACCGGGAGAAGAAGCUGCGGCUAACUACGUGCCAGCAGCCGCGGUAAUACGUAGGCAGCAAGCGUUGUUCGGAGUUACUGGGCGUAAAGAGUGCGUAGGCGGUUUUCUAAGUUCGGUGUGAAAUCUCCCGGCUUAACUGGGAGGGUGCGCCGAAGACUGGGAAGCUGGAGUGUGGGAAAGGCAGGCGGAAUUCCUGGUGUAGCGGUGAAAUGCGUAGAUAUCAGGAGGAACACCGGCGGUGUAGACGGCUUGCUAGACCAUAACUGACGCUGAGGCACGAAAGCGUGGGUAGCAAACA
rnacentral:rRNA from 1 species